CAGCAGCCGCGGUAAUACCGAGGGUGCGAGCGUUAAUCGGAUUUACUGGGCGUAAAGCGUGCGUAGGCGGCUUUUUAAGUCGGAUGUGAAAUCCCUGAGCUUAACUUAGGAAUUGCAUUCGAUACUGGGAAGCUAGAGUAUGGGAGAGGAUGGUAGAAUUCCAGGUGUAGCGGUGAAAUGCGUAGAGAUCUGGAGGAAUACCGAUGGCGAAGGCAGCCAUCUGGCCUAAUACUGACGCUGAGGUACGAAAGCAUGGGGAGCAAACAGGAUUAGAGACCCCCGUAGUCCCUGUCUCUUAUAC
rnacentral:rRNA from 1 species